CCCUUAGAUGUUCUGGGCUGCACGCGCGCUACACUGAAGCUAUCAACACGUUUUCCCUCCCUGAGAAGGGCGGGUAACCUUUUGAAUCAGCUUCGUGGUAGGGAUCGGGGCUUGCAAUUGUUCCCCGUGAACCAGGAAUUCCUAGUAGACGCGAGUCAUAAGCUCGCAUCGAUUAAGUCCCUGCCCUUUGUACACACCGCCCGUCGCUACUACCGAUUGAACAUUUUAGUGAGGCAUUUGGACCGACGCAUCUCAGUUUAACCGCUGGUUUGUGUUGGAAAGACUUCCAAACUUGAGCGUUUAGAGGAAGUAAAAGUCGUAACA
rnacentral:rRNA from 1 species